CCUUUCUCUGGUACUCCUGGAGAAGAGUGGUCUGCAGCUCAAAUCAAAGCUGCAGCUGCAGCCUGACUUGGGAAGAUUUCCUACUAUGUGAUUAUACAUCCAUGGAGAAAGAGACAUGAGUUGAGAAGAAAAAGAUCAUUCCUUCAGCAAUCUACUUGCACGCAACCCCUGCAGCUGCUGUUGGAAACAGACAUUUAUUCCAUGAAAAUGUGGACUUUUCAAUCAUGGUCUGGAUGAGGAUCUAUGUCUUCUGAAUUGUGGGUGAAUGGUUCACAGAACUACCUCCCAAGGCAUAUACUGGAAACCUUGUUGCACUGGAAGCCUUAAAAGUGCCUAUAUAUUUCUAGGCAUGUGCAGGACCUGUGCCAAGAAAAUCUAUUGCAAAGGCAAUGAUUAGACACAUAUCUACAGAUUGGUGUGAAUUUUUAAUUAAUACCUUAGCACUUCCAUCAGAUGUUUUAUAGGAUCCUCUCUGGAAAUUCUUACUACUCAAGAACAGUGUGUACCUUGAGAUUUAAAGAGGAAGUGCACAAAAAGUCAUAUGUUUGACAUUGCCUUGCACCCUGAUAUUGCUGAAAAUAACUCAAGUUUUGACAAUCACAGCUGAUAAUACAGUAGAGCAGAAAAAAAUUAUAUGUGGUAUAAAAAGAAAGAAAACUAGAGGUGCUAGAAUAAAUAGAAUCAAGCUUUGAGAUAAGAUGAAGAGUGAAAAAAAUGUGAAAGAGAUAAAUUUAGAAACCUGACAGGCCAUCAACACAAGAGUAUGGGAAGGAAGAGUGAAAAAUGACAUUUCGAAGAUAAUACCUGAACAGCCAUAAUAAAAUGUACAAAUGGGCAUUCUUCCCAUACAGUCUUCUCCUUCCGUAUAUUUUAGCUCUAUAUGUCAAGACCAUGCAAUUAUUGCAGUUAAAACUCCCCCCCAAAAAAACAAAGAAAGGCUAGUUAAACUAAAGCCUAUUCAAGAAUAUGAUAUAUUGCUCUCAAAUGGAGAAUUACACUGUGUAGCAAUUUCAUCUGAGUGAGUGAGAGUCAAAAAGGAAAAAAUGAAAUGAGAAAGAAAUGAAGCUAAGUAAUUGGAGGAAAAAGAGAUGUCAUGAAUUGGAAAUGAGUUUUGCUUUGAGGUGCUGACUCAGAUGCAUAGCUCUCUAUAAAAGCUACAGUGAGAAUAAAAAUAGAGCAGAAUUUUAGUUAUGAAUAAUAAUAAAAGAGACUUUUAUUUGCUUCAUAUGCUUCAGAAAUAUCCAAUUCUUCUGCUUAUGAAUAAGAAAAUAGAAAAGCUGUGCUAUCCUUCUUUCAGAUUUUGAGCUUAGCCUCAAAUCUAAAACCUGUA